rnacentral:rRNA from 1 species
UUCGAUGCAACGCGAAGAACCUUACCUGGUCUUGACAUCCCGGAGACCCUUAGGAAACUAGGGGUGCUUCCAUCUGGAAGAAUCUGGAGACAGGUGCUGCAUGGCUGUCGUCAGCUCGUGUCGUGAGAUGUUGGGUUAAGUCCCGCAACGAGCGCAACCCUUGCCUUUAGUUGCCAGCAGUUCGGCUGGGCACUCUAAAGGGACUGCCGGUGUUAAACCGGAGGAAGGUGGGGAUGACGUCAAGUCCUCAUGGCCUUUAUGACCAGGGCUACACACGUACUACAAUGGCCGAUACAAAGGGCAGCGACACUGCGAGGUGAAGCCAAUCCCGUAAAAUCGGUCUCAGUCCGGAUUGGAGUCUGCAACUCGACUCCAUGGAGUUGGAAUCGCUAGUAAUCGUGGAUCAGCAUGCCACGGUGAAUACGUUCCCGGGCCUU